CCCUUAGAUGUUCUGGGCCGCACGCGUGCUACACUGAGUGGAUCAGCGGGUCAGGUUGCGCGAAAGCGUUUCCUAAUCUUUAAAUCCGCUCGUGAUGGGGAUUGACGGUUGCAAUUUUCUGUCAUGAACGAGGAAUACCUUGUAAGCGCGGGUCAUCAUCCCGCGCUGAAUACGUCCCUGCCCUUGUACACACCGCCCGUCGCUCCUACCGAUUGAGUGGUCCGGUGAGGCUUUGGGAUCUGAGUGGAAAGAGCGUUUCGCUGUUUCUGCUCGGAAAACUCAGUCGAACCUUAUCAUUUAGAGGAAGGAGAAGUCGUAACA
rnacentral:rRNA from 1 species